rnacentral:rRNA from 1 species
UACGUAGGGUGCAAGCGUUAAUCGGAAUUACUGGGCGUAAAGCGUGCGCAGGCGGUUUUGUAAGACAGAGGUGAAAUCCCCGGGCUUAACCUGGGAACUGCGCUUGUAACUGGCAAGCUAGAGUGUGGCAGAGGGGGGUGGAAUUCCACGUGUAGCAGUGAAAUGCGUAGAGAUGUGGAGGAACACCGAUGGCGAAGGCAGCCCCCUGGGCUAACACUGACGCUCAUGCACGAAAGCGUGGGGAGCAAACAGG